rnacentral:tRNA from 1 species
GAAAAAUUAGUUAAUAAUAAUAUUAGUUUGUCGUACUUAAGUUACUUUUUGUAAGUAUUUUUCG